UCUCAAGGAUUGGUGGGAUUCUGUGCUCAGGGAUUGGUGGAAUUCUGCAGCCUGACUCUGGGGUAAACUCAGGGAUUAGUGGGAUUUUAGGCCCUGGUUCUGGGUCAGAUCAGGGAGUCCUUAGCCCAGGUCUCAGGUCUACUCCGGGGCACAGUGUUUUUUCCUUGGCUCUUUUCACUCUACAGUAUGGCUGGACACUGACAACCUACUCACUCAGGAGAGUUGCUGUGACCCCUGGAUGCUGAGGCCUGGUGGAUUCUGGGGUCAGAGGCCAUUUCAGGGAACAGCGAUGACCACGGGGUGAGGAGGAGAAUCCAUCUGCUCAGAGGUGUGAGACCUCAGAAUUUCAAAUGUCCAGGGCCCUAGGAAGCAGGCGACUACGAGUCACUGGACGUAUUUGCCACACUGACCCACUUAGAAGAGGCACCCCCAUCUUACAGAUGAGGAAACUGGCCCAGAGAGUUUGAACGGCUCCCUCUGAAUGGCUCCCUUUGUCCUCAUUCUGAUGACAGGUUUCUUUCAUCACACUCUGUACAUCAUCCAAGGCUGCCGAGAGCCCAGACAUGUCAGGACUUCAGGGGCUUUGGAGAGCUGAGAGUCCCUGCCACUUACAGAGGAGAAGGCUGUCUGUGAGCGGCUGGCUCUCUGGCACACAGUGAGUUAACACUGGUGCUGACCUUCCACAGAGAAGUUGUUCUAGCCACGGAAUUUUAUCACAGCAAUAAAAACCCUGACGAAGACACAAGGAAGGUACAGACCAGCUGCGGUCAUGUUCAGUGUGCUUGGUGCCCUCCAGAGAUGGAGACGCGUGGUCCUCAUCCCUGGUUCCCAGCACAUAGCUCAGAAGAUUCUGGAAAUCUCAAGAAUCACCACAGUAUCUUUUAAAUUUCUAUUUACUUACUUACUGUGUGUAUGUGUGUACAUGUUUGUGUGUGUAUACAUGAGUAUAUGCGUGUAUGUGUUGUGUGGAGAGGCCAGAGGUUGAGUUCGGAUAUCCCCCUCUAUGGUUUGUCUCUUUAUCUUUGAAGGUAGGGUCUUUGUGUGAACAUACAAUUGACUGAUUCUAGACAGGCCACCACCGAGCUCCAGGAAUCUGCUUGCCUCCAUUCCCCAGCCCAGGGAUUUUACACACACACACACACACACACACACACACACACACACGGCCCAGCUUGCAUGUAGGUGGUGGGGAUCUGAACUCGGGUCCUCAUUAUUUGCCCUUAUAGACUAAGCUAGUUCCCCAGAUUCAUGCGAAUAUCUUUUCAGGUUAAUGAUAUGGGGGCCCUUGGGAGCAUCAAGAUGGGGGCUAGUUACAAGAAAGAUCUAGGCAUGACUGAGGGCUGAAACUUCCAUAAUACUCACCCCAAUUAUGAGGAGGGGAAAAGGGUGGAGACUGAGCUAUUGACCAAGACCAGUGGCCAAUGACUUAAUCAAUCACACCUACGUAAUGACACUCCCACACGUUUCCAGGGUGGUGAGCGUAUUAAUGUGCUUGGAGAAUGGGGAACCCAGGAAGGUACCAGUGUGCUGUGGCCCUGCUGGACCAUGCCAUGGACAUCUUACAGUGCCCCCGAGCCUUGCUAAUAAACCUAUGACUGGUCGUAAAGGGCUCUCCUCAGUUAUGAACCCAAGAUGGGAGUGUGGGGAACCCCUGAUUUAGAGAUACACCAUAUAAAAUGGGAUGGGAGCAGCAAGAGCUGUUAAGAGCAAUUCUUGUAAUUGUGAAUUGGAGCCCAGUCUGGGCUACAUAAUGAGACUCUGUUUUAAUAAAAAGCAAACAAACUCAA